AUGGAUCAGAUCCCGCCCGGCCGCGAUCCCCUUGGCCCUGGGCACCUCCUGCGGCCCCCGCGGAGCUGCGCCCGCUGCCUGCAGCCCUCCCACCGUGCCGUGAGCAUCCCUGGCUGUCAGCACCCCGGGUAUCCCUGGCGACUCCCGGCACGCAGCCCGCGGCCAGACCCGCUCCCCUUACCUGGGCUGCUGCGGUCUCCCCGGGCUGCGCGGCUCUGCCCCGCUCCCCGCUCCCCGCUCCAGCACGGAGAUGUGCUGUCUGACACCAACCCAUGCGCCAGCUCCCAGCCUCAGUCAGCUGAUCCCGCUGCCUGUUGUGUUGCUGCUGCUAAAUAUAUCCCGCUGGCUGCCUGCCCUGCCGAGCCGCAGCCGCCGGGCGCCCAGGCAGGCACCGGGGCAGCCCGCGGGCACCGGCCGGGAAUGGCCAUCCCACACCCCAAAUCCCAAAUCCCACAUCCCUGUGGCUCAUUGCCCGCCGGGAAUGGCCAUCCCAAAUCCCUGUGCCUCUUUGCCGGCCGGGAAUGGCCAUCUCACAUGCCAAAUCCCACAUCUCUGUGGCUCAUCUCCCGGCCGGGAAUGGCCAUCCCAAAUCCCAAAUCCCUGCAGCUCAUCGCCCGCUGGGAAUGGCCAUCCCGCAUCCCAAAUUCCUGUGGCUCAUUGCCCGGCUGGGAAUGGCCAUCCCAAAUCCCAAAUCCCUGUGGCUCGUCUCCUGGCCGGGAAUGGCCAUCCCACAUCCCAAAUCCCAAAUCCCUGUGGCUCAUCACCCACUGGGAAUGGCCAUCCCACAUCUCACAUCCCUGUGGCUCAUCUCCUGGCCGGGAAUGGCCAUCCCACAUUCCAGAUCCCUGCAGUUCAUUGCCUGGUGACCACUCCCGGCGCAGAAGGGACCGCGGAGCUGCGGCCGUGCUGCAGGAGGGGAAGGGCUGCCCAUGCUCCAGGCUGGGUGGGAAAAGAGGAGAUGUAGCUCCUUCAUGCUUUAGUGCUAGAAGGGGAAUCCUUAGGGAUUGGGGCUGUUUUUCUUCCUUCUCUGCCUUAUUUUGUGAACAAAUUUGUGCUGGUUUUCCCAAGAGGUUGUGGGUGUUUGCAGCUUCUUUAGCGCUGCUCUCUGCUCUCUUCUGUCCCUGCUUCCAUUCUGCUCUGAGCAGAGCAUCCCUAGGCCAAGCUGUGCCUCCCUGGGCUGAACCACACAUCCCUGGACUGAGCCACACAUCCCUGGGCUGA
rnacentral:lncRNA from 1 species